rnacentral:lncRNA from 1 species
CUACAAAUUUACAUUAAUACAUUUAAACUAACGACAAAAAAUACAUACCCAAUGAACGUACUGAAUUCACAGCAGAGCAGCGGCAGGGAGAGUGAGAGAGAGGCAGAAUGCAAUUUCUGCAUUCUGCCUCUGCAAUGGCAGAUACUAAUAUGAAGAAGAAGGACUUUGCGCGACGAACAUUCAAAAUCCGUCGCGCAAAAUGCCGUCACGAAAACUCACUUUUCCGUCG